UCUCCGUUGGUGAACCAGCGGAGGGAUCAUUGCUAAAUUCGCCCCUCGCGGGGUUAAUUUACUACCCUUUGUGAACAAACCUAUUGUUGCCUCGGUGGGCUGGCCCUUGCAAACAGGGCCCCGUCCCUCCCUCUCGGGGGGGUUGGAGCGAGCCUGCCGGUGGACCAUUAAACUCUUGUUAUUUUAUGUAAUCUGAGCGUCUUAUUUUAAUAAGUCAAAACUUUCAACAACGGAUCUCUUGGUUCUGGCAUCGAUGAAGAACGCAGC
rnacentral:misc_RNA from 1 species